AGAUCCCUGAAAGAUGAUCAGGUUGAUAGGUCUGAGGUGGAAGCGUGGUGACACGUGGAGCUGACAGAUACUAAUAGAUCGAGGACUUAACCACAUUU
rnacentral:rRNA from 1 species